rnacentral:rRNA from 1 species
UUGCUUCCUGAUUGAUCAGCAGACGGGUGAAUAAUGCCUAUGAGUCUGCAUGGUAGUGGGGGACUUGUUCCGAAAGGAACGCUGCCCCCCCGGGGAUCCAACUGGAGAAAUCAGGGGACCUUCCGGCCUUGCGCUAUCUUAUGAACGUAAGUGCUAUUAACUGCUUGGUGAGGUAAUGGGUCACCAAGGCUACCAUCCCUCACUGGUCCUAAAAGAUGAUCCAUCCUCCUGGAGCUGGCACACGGGCCGAACUCCUACGGGAGGCAGCAAUGGGGAAUAUUGCAUAAUGGGCGAAAGCCUGAUGCCUCCAUGCCGCGUGUGUGAAGAAGGUCUUAAGAUUGUAAAGGACUUUAGAUUGGAAGGAACGGUUGUAUAUUAAUACUCUGCCAUUUUAACAUUACCGACGCAAUAAGCACCGGCUAACUUCGUGCCUACAGCCACCGUAAUACGAAGGGUGCAUGCGAUGAUCAAAAUUACUGGUCAUAUAGCGAGCUUACGUGGUUCAUUAAUUUGGAUGUUAAAUCCCCGGGCUCUGCCUGUCAACUGCAUCCAAUACUGCUCAUCUAUAUUACGGUAAACGGUGGUGGAAUUUGCUGUGUACCGGUUCAAUGCUUACACAUAGGAACGAACACCAGUGGCGCAGGCGACCACCUAUACUGAUACUGACCCUGACGUACAAAAGCGUGGCUAGCAGACAGGAUUAUAUACUCUGGUAGUCCACGCCGUAGACUAUGUCAACU